rnacentral:rRNA from 1 species
GCAAGUCGAACGCUGAAGCCCAGCUUGCUGGGUGGAUGAGUGGCGAACGGGUGAGUAACACGUGAGUAACCUGCCCCCUUCUUUGGGAUAACGCCCGGAAACGGGUGCUAAUACUGUAUAUUCCCUUAUCUUCGCAUGGGGGUUGGUGGCAAGGUAUUUUCUGGUGGGGGAUGGGCUCGCGGCCUAUCAGCUUGUUGGUGGGGUGAUGGCCUACCAAGGCUUUGACGGGUAGCCGGCCUGAGAGGGUGACC